GGAUUGAACGCUGGCGGCAGGCCUAACACAUGCAAGUCGAGCGGUAGAGAGGUGCUUGCACCUCUUGAGAGCGGCGGACGGGUGAGUAAUGCCUAGGAAUCUGCCUAGUGGUGGGGGAUAACGUUCGGAAACGGACGCUAAUACCGCAUACGUCCUACGGGAGAAAGCGGGGGACCUUCGGGCCUCGCGCCAUUAGAUGAGCCUAGGUCGGAUUAGCUAGUUGGUGAGGUAAUGGCUCACCAAGGCGACGAUCCGUAACUGGUCUGAGAGGAUGAUCAGUCACACUGGAACUGAGACACGGUCCAGACUCCGUACGGGAGCAGCAGGUGGGGAAUAG
rnacentral:rRNA from 1 species